rnacentral:rRNA from 1 species
GACAGAGGGGGCAAGCGUUGCUCGGAAUUACGGGGCGUAAAGGGCGCGUAGGCGGGGUGGCAAGUCGGUCGUGAAAUCCCUCGGCUCAACCGAGGAACGUCGAUCGAUACUGCUGUUCUUGAGGAUUGCAGAGGAGACUGGAAUUCCCGGUGUAGCGGUGAAAUGUGUAGAGAUCGGGAGGAACACCGGUGGCGAAGGCGGGUCUCUGGUCUGUAACUGACGCUGAGGCGCGAAAGCGUGGGGAGCAAACAGG